rnacentral:rRNA from 1 species
UACGUAGGCAGCAAGCGUUGUUCGGAAUUACUGGGCGUAAAGAGUGUGUAGGCGGUGCUCUAAGUUCGGUGUGAAAUCUCCCGGCUCAACUGGGAGGGUGCGCCGGAAACUGGGGUGCUGGAGCGCGGGAGAGGAAAGCGGAAUUCCUGAUGUAGCGGUGAAAUGCGUAGAUAUCAGGAGGAACACCGGCGGUGUAGACGGCUUUCUGGACCGUAGCUGACGCUGAGACACGAAAGCGUGGGUAGCAAACAGG